rnacentral:rRNA from 1 species
UACGAAGGGGGCUAGCGUUGUUCGGAAUUAUUGGGCGUAAAGGGUGCGUAGGCGGUUUUGUAAGUCUUGUGUGAAAUCUUCAGGCUCAACUUGAAGACUGCACGAGAAACUGCAGGGCUUGAGUGUGGGAGAGGUGAGUGGAAUUCCUGGUGUAGCGGUGAAAUGCGUAGAUAUCAGGAGGAACACCUGUGGCGAAAGCGGCUCACUGGACCACAACUGACGCUGAUGCACGAAAGCUAGGGGAGCAAACAGG